AGUUCAGCUGGGUGAUUCUGUGCACUGAAUUUUUCAGUUAGUACAUCGGAUGUAAUGUACUCCUAGAGAUAGGAAUUAGUUUCAAGCACUAUGAUUUUACAUCGAGAUGAUGUUUCUUUGUAACAGAGACGAUGAACAACAUGGGAAUGAGGAGGAUGCGGCCUAUAGAUGGUUGCUAUGGAUCUGGUGGUUGAUACUGAACAUGAGUUUACUACAGAUCUGGAGUAGUAAUAUUGGAUUACAGGUCACAGGUUAGAAGUUAACUGCAGAAUAUUGAGCAUGGGUUAGUAGUUCAUUCCAGAAUAGACAUUCAGUAAUUAACUGUAGAGCAUUUGGUCUUUGGGGUACAUGUGAAACAGAACAUCAGAUUUUAAUCCACAUGCUCUGUUUUUUCCUUCAUAAGUACAUACUCUGUACAUCAUAUAGUUAUGUGUUUUCUUGAAGUUCUCUCCUGCAAAUUUAAUAAUGUGCCCAAGAAAUUCGUGUUUAGUAACCAAGAUUGCAAAAAACUUACAAAACUGUAAUUGUACGGUUCCUUUCCAUUGACAUUGUAAUUGGUAUGUGCCAGUCUGUAUGGUGUAUACAUUGGAGUGGAGUUAGUGGGAACCAGUGCAUAAUUUUAAGUUGCAGCUUGCUAAUUGUACUAAUGUGUCGGUGUGCGUGCCACGUUUUCCUGAAACAUGCAAAAAAAUGGACAACUUUUCCAGAGUAUGAAGGUGGUUAGCUAGCACCAUUUGGAACAAGUACAUCAAAUCUUGGAUCUGAAGUGUCCAAUUUGCAACUUUAAAAAUUGUUUCAGAAAAUACGCAAGGUUUGGCAAUAAUUUAAUAAGCAAUUUUCAUGACUGAUGGGAUGGCACUGGAAUUGUCUGAUUGCCGACUGUGACCCCCGUCAUGAAGGCCUCUACACUAAACUUAAUAAAAAAUAUAUUUAUCUUGUAUUGAAAAAUAUAAGAAAAGGGCACACUGGGAGUUGUCUCAAGGUGUACAUUAGUGGUUGGAUGUACUUAAUUUUUAUCAAGGAAGAAUAGCUACUGUACAACAGAAAAAAUAUAAGGAAGGUAAACUAAUAUCUGGUGAAGGCAGAGAGGUAAUGCAUUGUUCAUGGUAUUGUAUGCACGGGCAUUGGUUAAAUAAUUUUGGGUGUUCUAACUCUCUGAGAUAUUUUACAUCUCUAUUUGUGCUAAUUGGCAAGGUGCAUGAACAAUUAUUUACCUAUAGUUUUUGCUUAAUGGAAAAGCCUUUUUCAGUUUUAAAAACCUAUUAAAUUUGAUGAACAGAACAAGACUCUUUUUUGUUAAUCUUGGUAAGAACAGUGCCAUAUGGUUCCACUCUACAUCUUUGUACCUAAUUAGCUGAAGGUGCGCAUUAGUGCUUGAGACCAGUGCUAUAUAGUUCCACUCUAUAUCUCUGUACUUCAUUGGCUGAAGGUGUGCAUUAGUGCUUAAGAUCAGUGCUAUAUAGUUCCACUCUACGUCUCUGUACUUAAUUGGCUGAAGGUGUGUGUUAGUGCUUGAGACCAAUGCAAUAUGGUUCCACUUUACAUGUCUGAAUGUGUACAUUAGUGGUUGGUUGUGUUAAUAUAAAUAGUAAGUUUUCAUAUUAUACCAGCUAGAAGAGCUUCACAGAAAUUUGGUACAAGAGUUGCAACUGUCUUGAUCAAGUGCUUUUAUUAUAUUAUUCUUUCUUGGUUAAACUUUGUAAGAUUCUUGCGCAUGUUCAGUGGUAUCACGUACUAAAGAUCUUACUAUUUUUAAUUAACUAAGAUCUUGACUAUUUUGGUGUCAAGAUCCAAUAGCCUUGCUGUUAGUUAAUGCUCUAUUUAUAUUUUCUUCUAACAAAACAAAUGUAUGUUUCCAGCAAUAAAACUCGUAGGUUCCAGCAAAAAUAAUGACUCGCCGUAGCUGGGUCGCAGCAAAAAGUUUGGCCGUUCCCAGCAAAA
rnacentral:lncRNA from 1 species